rfam:Oryza rufipogon genomic scaffold, chr01
UUUAAAUGCACUCGUAGGUUUCUAUGCACAACAUUUGAUCGUCCGUCUUAUUUUUUUUAUAAUUAGUAUUUUUAUUGUUAUUGAAUGAUAAAAUAUGAAUAAUAUUUUAUACGCGACUUAUUUUUUAAAAAUUUGUUUAUAAACUUUUCAAAUAAGAUGAACGGUCAAACAUUGAGGACAAAAAUCUACAGCUACACUAAAA